AGACAUGGGACUUGGUGCUGCGGUGAGAUCGUCCAAGUUUGAAAACCGCCCACAUUUGAAGGUGUCUUGGCGGUGGUGUUCAGAAACGAUUUCUACUCCAACCAAGGGUUCCUCUGCGCUAGACUGGUCCAGUGUUGAUCUGCCACACUCGAGUCCUCAAACCCAGAUCUGGACCAACAUGAUUCUGGUCAUGUGAAUGUACGGGGCGGUCACGUUAACCAUCACGUCACACGCUGCCUCAAUCCCGUGGCCAUAGCAGAUGUUUCUAAAAUGUCUGCCAUGGGCCUUCACUAAGGUGUGGGGACGGUGCUGACUCUGUUCCAUUAACGCAGGACCGAGACUUGUCCUGUGACUGGCGCCCUCAAACCCAGUUCUGGGUCAUCUUGGUCACUGCAGUGCUGCUGGAAGUGUUGUCUACAAAAUGGCCGCCCUCCUUUGUUUGUGCAAAUUCCACAUUGCUUGGCUCAUGGAAUGAUAAUCAAUAAAGCACUUAAUUUUAAA